AGCCUUGAAGUAUUGUACGUUAGAUUGCAAAUCUAGAAAAGCAGGUUAGCUGCCGGCCGGGGCUU
rnacentral:tRNA from 1 species